GAUGAACGCUGGCGGCGUGCCUAAUACAUGCAAGUCGAGCGAACGGACGAGAAGCUUGCUUUUCUGAUGUUAGCGGCGGACGGGUGAGUACACGUGGAUAACCUACCUAUAAGACUGGGAUAACUUCGGGAAACCGGAGCUAAUACCGGAUAAUAUUUUGAACCGCAUGGUUCAAAAGUGAAAGACGGUCUUGCUGUCACUUAUAGAUGGAUCCGCGCUGCAUUAGCUAGUUGGUAAGGUAACGGCUUACCAAGGCAACGAUGCAUAGCCGACCUGAGAGGGUGAUCGGCCACACUGGAACUGAGACACGGUCCAGACUCCUACGGGAGGCAGCAGUAGGGAAUCUUCCGCAAUGGGCGAAAGCCUGACGGAGCAACGCCGCGUGAGUGAUGAAGGUCUUCGGAUCGUAAAACUCUGUUAUUAGGGAAGAACAUAUGUGUAAGUAACUGUGCACAUCUUGACGGUACCUAAUCAGAAAGCCACGGCUAACUACGUG
rnacentral:rRNA from 1 species